rnacentral:rRNA from 1 species
GUGGGGAAUAUUGGACAAUGGGGGAAACCCUGAUCCAGCAAUGCCGCGUGAGUGAAGAAGGCCUUAGGGUUGUAAAGCUCUUUCACCCGUGAAGAUGAUGACGGUAGCGGGAGAAGAAGCUCCGGCUAACUCCGUGCCAGCAGCCGCGGUAAUACGGAGGGGGCAAGCGUUGUUCGGAAUUACUGGGCGUAAAGCGCGCGUAGGCGGCUUGUCUAGUUAGGCGUGAAAGCCCUGGGCUUAACCCAGGAACUGCGUUUAAUACUGGCAGGCUUGAGUCCGGGAGAGGGUGGCGGAAUUCCCAGUGUAGAGGUGAAAUUCGUAGAUAUUGGGAAGAACACCAGUGGCGAAGGCGGCCACCUGGACCGGUACUGACGCUGAGGUGCGAAAGCGUGGGGAGCAAACAGG